rnacentral:tRNA from 1 species
GGCCCUGUAGCUCAAUGGAUAGAGCAGACCCGUCCUAAGGGUAAGGUUGGCGGUUCGAGUCCGUUCGGGGCCGCCA